UACGUAGGGACCGAGCGUUGUCCGGAUUCAUUGGGCGUAAAGAGCUCGUAGGCGGCUGUUCAAGUCGAACGUGAAAACUCGGAGCUCAACUCCGAGCCUGCGUUCGAUACUGGACGGCUAGAGUCUGGUAGGGGGAUCUGGAAUUCCCGGUGUAGCAGUGAAAUGCGUAGAGAUCGGGAGGAACAUCUGUGGCGAAGGCGGCCAUCUGGACCAGCACUGACACUGAGGCACGAAAGCGUGGGGAGCAAACAGG
rnacentral:rRNA from 1 species